rnacentral:RNase_P_RNA from 2 species
GACAUCGGCUAACAGCGGCCAUUUUGGUUGAGGAAAAUCCGCACUAGCACGAACUGAGAUGUUCGUAGUGUUCAUGUCAAGUUUAAUAAACUUGAGCCUAGACGACAAGUGCCACAGAGACGAGAAUUGUGAAACGGGUAAACUCCAUGAGCUAGAAACUAAAAUUUUGGUAUAGGAAUUUUAAAUAGGAAAAUGAACUUAUUUAAAAAAUUACUCAUGUAAUUAGAUAAAUUGUUAGCACCUUGAAUAAAGGUACAGAAAGCGGUUUAUAGAU